UAGAAUAACUGCACGUUAGGAGAGUUAGGUCACUGCUGGCCGAUCUGACGGUGAUUUGCAUCCGCUUCGGUACCGGGGAAAGGAAUGUUUGAUCUGACAGAAAGUGGAGGAGGAGGGCAGCCUCUCCACUUCGCAGGUCGCUGCUGGGUCCCCCGGGGAUUUACUGCUUCCUCCAAGGAGCUCCCACUGCAGCUGGAAUAGAGGCUUGUUUCUCCAGCUGUCUAACCUUCAGUGUUAUCUGUCUCUCUUUGACCUCUUAGUUUUAUAAUGAGUCAGUUUAUUUGUGUGUGCAAAUUGAGUUUUCUUAGAAAUAGAACAGAGCUAGAAAGAGGCCCAUGUUUUAGUCGUUUCCUCUGAAGAAGGAGAAGCAGCCAGGGGACCUGGCACGGCAGAAGGUGCUUGUGCUCUGACAGCCCCUGUUGUUGGUGUCUUUUAACACCGUGGAGUGAAGUCUAGUGGUCAGAGGAAGAUUGUCUCCCUGUGGGAGGUGGAAAUAUCCUCAGGGUUUACCAGCUAAUUACUUCUGGAGGCCCUAGGAGCUCAGAGAAUUUGCUUAGCAACUGGCCUGACCGGUCCCCCGACCCCUGCUGUCCCCUGACAUUACCCGACUUACCAGCGGGGCUGAUGGAGCAGUUUGGGAACCAAACACGAUCCAGCAUUUUUGUGAAAAUGGUGCCAAUCUUUUCCUCGAUGGGACCUGAGCCUGUAACCCAGUCCAACAAAACGAGGGAGAGGAAGCCAAAAAAAACUUUUUUGAGAAACAACACAGGCAGUAGGAAAUCAUACUGGUCAGGGCUUGUUUUCCUGACUCAGGGCCUCAUUCCAACCUGUUGCAAUCAGCUCUCCGAGUGUCUAUGGGGACACCCUGGCGCAGGGGCCCCUCGGAGGAGAGGAACUUUUUACAUUUGUGUUUGACUGGGCUCCUUGCCAGGGGCUAAGUUCAAAGUGCAGUUUCCAGUAAUUUGCUGGGACUUCUCUGUGGGUUUGAUAGGCCAGGACAGAAGCCUGCAAGCUGAAGUAAUAUUUCCUGAUUUCUGUCAUUUCUUAAGAAGAGAAGGAAGCCAUAACAUGAGGACAACAGCAAUACCAAUCUCAGAAGGUUUUUGUGAGAAUUAAGUAGAAGUGGCAACAUAAUAUGGAAACAGUCCCUGGCACAUAUCCGUGUAAUCUUGAUGCCGAAGAAACUUCAGUAAUGAGAACAGCUGACUUUAUCUGCACUCAUUGGAUGAAAGUUCUUUUCUGAUGGCCGAUCAGAACAUAUCAAAAAGUAGAAAUGAUUGGAAAGGUUAUAUGAAUUUUAUUUCACCUUUUGAUGUACCUCAUUUAAAGAUAAAACAAUUUUACAGUAAGAGACUCUGUCAGUAGUGUUGAGGUCUGAUUCACUUUUUUCCCCCUCAAUUCUUAAGCUUUUCUGUGCUGAGGAAAUUGGUGUGACAACCGAGAGGAAGAAAUUGAGAUUGUUGUACUGGCAAACCUCGGGACAUGUGUAAAUUGAUAAGUUCUCAAGGGAGAAUCGCUCUAUGAAGAGUCUUUGCCAGACCACAUUAGCUUUCCCCAGAAGUCAAGAGAACGGCCCCUGGCUAACACUGAGAAUGGUCAACCAGGAAAAAGGAUGUUUCUUCAAAGAGAAAGAGCCCAAGAAUUAGCAUCAUGCCAGUUCUGUGGAAAAGGGGGCAUUGCAGAUUCUGGGUGAGAGACUCUAGGAGUCUCACCAAGUUUGUAGGAAAUAUUACGUCUUUUUGAUUUCAGAAAACUCUUUAGAACAAAGUGAUACGGAUAAAGAUUCUCAAGGAGGGAGAUUCAGAGAUGAUUUUCUGUUGUCAAAGAGGGCUCUCCCUGGAGCAAGGAAGAAAACUUGUCAUGUUCAAUACACUGUGAACAUUAUUAGGAAUCGUAAUGCAGGCAUAGCAAAGGGGUUUCAUGGAAACUGUUGAGGAUUCUGGGAAUGUUUGGCCUCAGCAGAAAAGAGCAACUUGAUGAAUUAGUAAUGUCUGCUGUAGGUGUGUGAGGGGGAAGUAAUUGUGCACACAGUAAGUUUGCUUGAGGUACAAUCUUGUGGCAAGUGUUUUGAUCUUGUAGAAGAGGAAAAAAUCCUUUCCUCCACCCUUUUAAGUUUAGUGGAUGGGGCCUGUGAAUUAAACUGGCAGAAGACAGGUUAACAGGAGAAAAGGUCCAUUUUGCAUGCACAUGGGAGCUUCACAGAAAAGAAGUGAAAACCCAUAGAAGUGGUUAGGCUUGGGAGAUUAAACAUCAUUUAACAAAGGGCAGUAAAUUGUGGAAAGUAAUGACAAAGGAGAAGGGAUUUGGGCUUCUAGGGGGCGGUAAAUUGUAAGAAGGUAAAUAUAUGGGGGAAACUAAUGGAAGAUAAGAGUUAUUUUAAUAAGGCUUGUUAUGCAGACUCAAGGGUGCCAUCUUCAGUGACUGAGAAAUUCUCCUCUUCCUGGCACGGGAGAGGGGAAGGAGGACAACUUCGCAAAUACAAAUUGAUGCUCUGCUGUUAGGAAAUAAGGGGGAGGGCAGAGAGGUUCCUCCUUGUCUGUUGUUUCUUAAUUGUGUUCAGCACAAAAUAAUCCUUAUGCCAAAGUGGGCUGUUUUGGGGUGGCAUAUUCUCAUCCUCUUUAUCUGAAAUAAAGAUGAUGUUACCUUAAGAGCUAUUGUGAGAAUGGAAUGAGAUGGUGUCUCUGAAAGCACUUUGAGAACUGUAAAGCAUUCUACAAGUGUAAGGGUUUAUUCCCAUAUUUUAGGUUGCAUUUUCCCCUUCAAACUGAAAUCUCAGUUUCAUAUAAAUUCACGAUGAAAUUGACCCAGUUGAAGGAAAUGGAAUGGAGAUGAGAAAAAAAACCCUUUAUAUAUCUUUCCAAAAAUGCACCAAUUCUUGUACUGUCAAUAAACAGCAGAGGAAGAUAGGAAUGGAGCUAAUUAUGUGCAAACAUCCCUUGACUCCUUUACUUCCCAUCUGAAUUUAAUUCUAAAAAAAGAGACCCUGAUGGAUUCCUGCUUUCAGGUAUAAUUACCUCAAAAUUGACUGACGUUUAAAGCACACACGACACUGUUUAGCUUUAAUUAGAGUAAAUUGGUGGAAUUUAUUUGACCGGUAGUUUUGGGGAUGGUUGGAGGCUGAGAAUAUACUUAGCAUAUCAUUUCCUGCUGAUGCUAAGAUUUAGCCCCAUCAGAGAAUUCUAUAUUUAGGAUAAAAUCACUUAAGAAAUGUAACCCAAUCAUUGUUAUGACCAUGAAGUAAUCAGUCCAGUCAGGGAGAGAUGCUCUGAGAAAAAAAAAUUGCCGCUGACAACAGCAGAAACCAAAAAUCCACAAAAGUUUUAUUUAAACAACCUUGAAGUUUUUCUUGAUUUAAUAAUGUAAAAAUUCUUUUGCCUUGCUAUGACAUUUUUUGACAUUGAUAAUAGGAACACCAAAAAGAAAUGCAGUAUAUGAGAAGUGUCUUAGACCAACUCCAAAAGUAUGAAUAAAUACAUAUUCGUUCGUCUGAGUGUCUCUUAUGAUUGUUUCAAAUUUCUCCAUAUUUGUGGCUAUUUCUUCUUCUUUCUAAUUUUGUUAACUUUCU